GGUAGUCCACGCCGUAAACGAUGUCGACUUGGAGGUUGUGCCCUUGAGGCGUGGCUUCCGGAGCUAACGCGUUAAGUCGACCGCCUGGGGAGUACGGCCGCAAGGUUAAAACUCAAAUGAAUUGACGGGGGCCCGCACAAGCGGUGGAGCAUGUGGUUUAAUUCGAUGCAACGCGAAGAACCUUACCUACUCUUGACAUCCAGAGAACUUAGCAGAGAUGCUUUGGUGCCUUCGGGAACUCUGAGACAGGUGCUGCAUGGCUGUCGUCAGCUCGUGUUGUGAAAUGUUGGGUUAAGUCCCGCAACGAGCGCAACCCUUAUCCUUUGUUGCCAGCGGUUAGGCCGGGAACUCAAAGGAGACUGCCAGUGAUAAACUGGAGGAAGGUGGGGAUGACGUCAAGUCAUCAUGGCCCUUACGAGUAGGGCUACACACGUGCUACAAUGGCGCAUACAAAGAGAAGCGACCUCGCGAGAGCAAGCGGACCUCAUAAAGUGCGUCGUAGUCCGGAUUGGAGUCUGCAACUCGACUCCAUGAAGUCGGAAUCGCUAGUAAUCGUAGAUCAGAAUGCUACGGUGAAUACGUUCCCGGGCCUUGUACACACCGCCCGUCACACCAUGGGAGUGNGUUGCAAAAGAAGUAGGUAGCUUAACCUUCGGGAGGGCGCUUACCACUUUGUGAUUCAUGACUGGGGUGAAGUCGUAACAAGGUAACCGUAGGGGAACCUGC
rnacentral:rRNA from 1 species